UACGUAGGGGGCGAGCGUUGUCCGGAUUUAUUGGGCGUAAAGAGCUCGUAGGCGGUUCGAUAAGUCGGACGUGAAAUCUCCACGCUCAACGUGGAGGGGCCGUUCGAUACUGUCGUGACUCGAGUCCGGUAGGGGAGUGUGGAAUUCCCGGUGUAGCGGUGAAAUGCGCAGAGAUCGGGAGGAACACCCGUAGCGAAGGCGGCACUCUGGGCCGGUACUGGACGCUGAGGAGCGAAAGCGUGGGGAGCAACAG
rnacentral:rRNA from 1 species